CCCCGUCAACAAAUAUAUUGGAGAUUUUUAGCUAUAGCUGCAUAUAGACCAAACCCUCCUUAUUUGAAGUCAAGUGGAGACUUGCAUGGUAUAUAUUAUAAUAAGGAGCGAGUCAGAUCAUGUUCAGGUGGAGGCUUGCAUAGUUACGUUGUUGAACGGGACCGUGGCCGGAAUGCCGGAUGGGGUUGUAGAGCAGCAAAUCGUUUAUUAAUUCCGAGAGCAUCAAAUACCGACGAAGAUUGGCUUCUCGUCGAGUUGGGCGAUAUUCCCAUUGCAAGUAGUAGCCGGAGAAGAACCCAAGGUUAAAGAUAGAAACAAGAUGCCUGCCAUUGCUCACCACCCAGGGGGAGUGCAGCUGCAGCUGCAAGCUUGCGAAGGCGGCGGUCAUCUGCCGGUGAAGGUGCAAGCACAAUGCUCCAGUUCUACACUGAUGUUGCCACAGGCGAUAAGAUGUCUCCUAAUACUGUCCUUUUUAUGAGUGUUGGAUUUAUUGCUGUGGUUGCGCUGCUGCAUCUGGUUGGUUUAUUUGGUUUGCCAAUAGAGCUUCAAUAUGUGCAGUAACUUGAAUCUUCCUAAGUAGUGUUUUUAUUAGCAUCAGACAUACACUUGUUGAAUUUGGAGGGUCAGGUGAUUUAGCAACCAUGUUGUGUGACUUGAGGGAUCUCAUCAUUUUGACUGAAAAAUCAAAAAUUAUGAGGGUGAUACACAGAGACACACACACACAUAUAUAUGAAAGAAAUCAUGAAGGUGACAGUCAUGCAUGUGGCUCACCUGAAAUUAUAACAGCGAUGGUUCUAUCGUGAAAUGACUUAUGAAAUCUAACAUGCUGGAUUUUUUUCUUUUUAAAAAAAAUCUUGCAAACAAUUGAAGUGUACUGUAUAAGACUACAAUGGUUAAUUAAUCUGUAGUAUUCCUGA